rnacentral:rRNA from 1 species
GACAGAGGGUGCAAACGUUGUUCGGAAUUAUUGGGCGUAAAGCGAGUGUAGGCGGUUCGGUAAGUCGGAUGUGAAAGCCCCGGGCUCAACCCGGGAAGUGCACUCGAUACUGCCGAGCUAGAGUAUCGGAGAGGUUGGUGGAAUUCUCGGUGUAGAGGUGAAAUUCGUAGAUAUCGAGAGGAACACCGGUGGCGAAGGCGGCCAACUGGACGAAUACUGACGCUGAGACUCGAAAGCGUGGGGAGCAAACAGG